UAAGUAUCAUAUAUAUUUAUCUACUCUUCAUUGUUACUUAUCCACUUGCAAUUCUCCUUGUGCUUCUUUUUGGUAUGAUAUUACAAUAGUUAGUUCGCUUCUAUGUCGUGCCUAGGUAAGUCUUAUGGCAGUUUAACUUGGAAUACUUCAUUUGGCAUAUUUUUUAUUACGUAGCACGCAUGUGCGGUAAUAAAAUAUUUGUUCUCUCUCUGAACAUUUUGAUAAUUUGAAAUCGGGAAAAUAUGCUGUGGUGCCUAAUAUGAUAUACCCCCUCCCAUGAUUCCUUUAUAAGAUUUAAAUUUCUUUAUAUUAAAAAUGUCUUGCAUAUUAUUCCUUUUUGGUUCUUUGUAUGCAUGUCAUUUCCCACAACACUAUGUUACGUUUUUCAUAUUGUAGAGAAAACAUUUCCCAGAGAGCAAGCGGUUGGAGAAAGCUGCAUUGUAGAGGUCGAAAAGUUGUGAAAUUGUUAUUACAGAAGUGAUCAGUUUGAUCCUAUCCUAUUUUUAUUUUUCGUUUUCUAGUCUAUAUAUGUUUCGGUUUGAAACAUUUUUUCAUUGCCUUUUGCUUGUUUAAAACAUUAGAUUUUUUUCAAGAAACUGAAGAAAUGAAAAAGGAAGAAAAUAAUACCUUCCGGAAACAUUCAUUAUCCUUCAUAAGAAAAAACCAAACUGUCAUCAUAAGGACUCAUAUGAGUGCUUGAUUCUUGUUGAAAAUUUGUUUUGAAUCCAAUAACUUAGAACCAUAAAUUUUAAACUGAUAAAAUAUAUAAGAAAUCGAAAGAGGGAGAGGAAGAGGAAGAUGAAGAUGAAGAUAUAGUUAGUCAAAAAUAUUUUACUGAGGUGAACAGUUAUAUGAGGUCAUGACCAAUCAAAUAAAAGCAAAGAAAAAAAAAGAGUUAAACACAAAAAUAUUUUUACGAUCGUGAUCUAUUUUUUCGUUGUUUCUUCUAAUUACGUUCAUGAUAGUGGUUCUCUUUUUCCUGGGAUAUUAGAUAAUUACGUUCAUUGUUUUAUUGAUGUAAAUUAUCUUUAUAUUAACUCAAAUGUUUUAAUUGAUGCAAAUUAAAAUUAAAAUAACAUCAUUUUAUUAAACUGAUGUCAAAGAUAAAUAUAAUUAUAUAAUUUAAGUUAGCAUCAAUCUUUUAUUGAAUUAAAGUAAGUAUCAUUUCAAUAAGUGAUGUCAAAAAAAAAAAAAAUGAAUACAUCAUUUAUUUAACUGAUACAAUUUUUUAUCAUAGUAUCAAUUUUUGUAAAAUAAUACAAAAUAUGAAAAAGCAUAUCAUUUUAUUGAAUUGAUGUAAAAUAAAAUAAUAAUAAUAUCACUUACUAUUAAAUGAUGCUAAUUUAUAUUUUGUUGUGUAUUAUUUAUUACCUUUGUAUUCAGAAAACAGAAAAUUUUCUUGUAAAGAAGAGAAAAAAUGUUGAAAAGUUAUGAGAGCUAAAUGGGCCGAAAUGAAGAGGAAGCCCAAGCUUGCCAGUGUAACACUUUGAUGCAUAUAUAUGAUGAGUUACGUUGUGCGUUGCUGCUAGCAUGGUAAACAAAAACAAAAAUUGCAGACAUAAAGCAAAACUUCUAAUCUGAAGGGUUUUAGGCAAAAAAAAGUAAGAAUCUUGAGGGUUUUUGUUUCAUUUACAUUGUAGAUCUGAAGUUUGAAGGGAAAAAGUUUGAAUCUUUAGUUGAGGUUUAGGGGUUUUCUUUGAUUUCUGUGUGCAGAUAAUGAUGUUGGCAGGAGGAGGUGGAGGAAAUCCUCCUUGUUCGCCGGAGAAGGACACAAUCGUUUGGGUGGACAUAGAAAACUGUGGAGUCCCAAGCGACCUCAAUUCCACAGAACUCUAUGGUCUCAUCGAGCAAAAGCUGGGUGAAGACGGUUUUAAAUCGCGGGAACUUGGUGGUCAACGUGGUCGUCCCUUUUCUGGAUAGUUAUGUUCCUGAGCUUGGGCCGAAUAUCGAAAUAUGGCGAGCAAGGAAUUACAACAAACCUCUAACAGGACGAGAAUCAAAAAAAAAGAACCAGAUAGCCGACAAGUUCAUCACUCAGAAAAUCAAUGAGUGGCUUGAUAGCAACCCAGCUCCUCACAACGUGAUGGUCGCAACAGGAGAUGACGACUUCAGAACCACGUUCAACAGGCUGAGAAAGGAAGGUCACACAACGUUAAUGGCCUAUAACACCAAAUCUGUUUCGGGAGAUCUACUGAGUAUACAACUUGACAGCAAGUGGGACUGGAGAGAGUUUUUAUCUCUCCCAAUCAGGCAGCUUAGCAAAAAGGAGAAGUGCAGACUGAAGAGCAGACUGAGGGCAAAGGCGUUUAGGAAGAAGCAACGUGCCAAAAGGAGGAGAAGAUGGAUGGCGAUAAAGAGUAGGUGGGUUGGAACCAGAACAAGAUGG